UACGUAGGGUGCGAGCGUUAAUCGGAAUUACUGGGCGUAAAGGGCGCGUAGGCGGCAUAUUAAGUCAGCUGUGAAAUCUCCGAGCUUAACUCGGAACUGUCAGCUGAUACUGAUGUGCUAGAGUGCAGAAGGGGCAAUCGGAAUUCUUGGUGUAGCGGUGAAAUGCGUAGAUAUCAAGAGGAACACCUGAGGUGAAGACGGGUUGCUGGGCUGACACUGACGCUGAUAGCGCGAAAGCCAGGGGAGCAAACGGG
rnacentral:rRNA from 1 species